rnacentral:sRNA from 1 species
UUGGAUGGAACGCAGGACGCGCUCAGUCAGGUCAAGGAUGAUGACCAGGCCAGGAUGGCAGCUUGAUACGGACAUUGAGCACGGUCAGCAAAAACCCGCUUCGGCGGGUUUUU